rnacentral:rRNA from 1 species
GAGAAUAAUACCCGAUAGAUCAUAAUGCCUGGAACGGUUUAUGGUCCAAACGAUUUAUCGCCAUAGGAUGGGACUGCGGCCUAUCAGCUUGUUGGUGAGGUAAUGGCCCACCAAGGCUAUAACAGGUACGGGCUCUGAGAGGAGAAGCCCGGAGAUGGGUACUGAGACACGGACCCAGGCCCUAUGGGGCGCAGCAGGCGAGAAACCUUAGCAAUGUGCGAAAGCACGACUAGGUUAAUCCGAGUGAUUUCUGCUGAAGAAAUCUUUUAUCAGUUCUAAAAAUACUGGAGAAUAAGGGGUGGGCAAGUCUGGUGUCAGCCGCCGCGGUAAUACCAGCACCUCGAGUGGUUAGGAGGUUUAUUGGGCCUAAAGCAUCCGUAGCCGGCUAUGCAAGUCUCCGGUCAAAUCCAACUGCUUAACAGAUGGGCCGCCGGAGAUACUACACAGCUAGGGAGCGGGAGAGGUAGACGGUACUCUGUGGGUAGGGGUAAAAUCCACUGAUCCAUAGAAGACCACCAGUGGCGAAGGCGGUCUACCAGAACGCGUUCGACGGUGAGGGAUGAAAGCUGGGGGAGCAAACCGGAUUAGAUACCCGGGUAGUCCCAGCUGUAAACGAUGCAAA